GGGCCUAUAGUUUAGUAGUAGAACACGGCAUUCGCAUUGCCGAGACUCGAGUGCGAUUCUCGAUAGGUCCA
rnacentral:tRNA from 1 species